ensembl:lncRNA
AAACCCGGACAACGCUGAGCCAAUUGUGCGCGGAGCUAUGGGACUCCCAAUCACGGCCGGAUGUGAUACAGCCUGGAUCCAAACCAGGGACUGUAGUGACGUCUCUUGCGCUGAGAUGCAGUGCCUUAGACAGCUGCGCCACUCGGGGAGACCCAUAACAGAGAUGGUAACAACACAGUAAAUGUGCAAGAGGGACAACUAGUUACUAAAGCUAGCGCUGUGAUUGGAGCGUUGCGCUUCCGCAGCUGCGCAGACACGGAGAACCUCGCUGGAGCUGUCAUCUGGAAAGGGAGGAGAGGAACAGAGAGAAGAACGAAAUAAACGCAGCGAGGACGCGAACACUCAAGAAAGAGGUGAGUGAUGUGGAAUGUCCAGAAUGCAUUUCUCUUGAAUAAAGGAGUUGCGUGUCACCGUUAUAACGGACACACGGCUAGAAACAGUUACGUGUCUCUGGCGUGAAUAGGAACUUCCCCCCCCUAUUCCUUUAGGCAAACGCGUCGGUGUUUGGUCGAGUUGGGGGGGUUUGAUGUGUUGUAAAGUCUGGGGGAGGUGAGGUGAGAGAAAGAGAUAAGAGACGAGGGCCUGCGACGACAGAUGAGCACGUCUCUCUCCUUCCCAUCUCUGUCUCAACCAUGAACAACUUUCUCUUGUUUCUCUCCAGACAAUAGUUUAGCUCUACAUUGAACUGUAGACUGUGUGUGUGUGUGUGUGGAAUUGGUGAGCCUUUAUCUAGAGCUGCGCGGUUGUAGAAAUGUGCUUUGCAACCCGAGAUAAAGACAGUUUCAGGUUGGAUAUCCUUAGAAUAUCCCACUUGAAACGGUUUUUACCUCGGUGCUUUGCAACAAACCGUGGAGCCAAACACUGUGCGCCGCUGGUUGUGGGUUAAACUAGCGGAGUAGUAGUCAGGUUCGUUAAGGUAGUCUUCUCCACGGUGUCGGUAUCUUCUCCACGGUGUCGGUAGCCUUCUCCACGGUGUCGGUAGUCUUCUCCACGGUGUCAGUAGCCUUCUCCACGGUGUCGGUAGUCUUCUCCACGGUGUCAGUAGCCUUCUCCACGGUGUCAGUAGCCUUCUCCACGGUGUCGGUAGUCUUCUCCACGGUGUCAGUAGCCUUCUCCACGGUGUCGGUAGUCUUCUCCACGGUGUCGGUAGUCUUCUCCACGGUGUCGGUAGCCUUCUCCACGGUGUCGGUAGCCUUCUCCACGGUGUCGGUAGUCUUCUCCACGGUGUCGGUAGUAUUGCGCUGUUAUUACACCGUUCCCCUGUCAGUGUGACGGUGGACUGUAGGCUAGUUAGACCACAGGCACCAUUGACUUGACGGAGCAGCGCUACUCUGUGGAUGUGAGUUGACUCUUGGGACGUUAUGGAGAC